rnacentral:rRNA from 1 species
UACGUGAGGGGCGAACGUUGUUCGGUGUCACUGGGCUUAAAGCGUGCGUAGGUGGUGAGUUAAGUCUGUCGUGAAAGCCCCGGGCUCAACCUGGGAAUGGCGAUGGAUACUGGCUCGCUAGAGUGCGGUAGAGGAGAGUGGAAUUCCCGGUGUAGCAGUGAAAUGCGUAGAGAUCGGGAGGAACAUCAGUUGCGAAGGCGGCUCUCUGGACCAGCACUGACACUGAGGCACGAAAGCGUGGGGAGCAAACAGG